CACCAUGACAACCACCGGAAGAGCCCAUAGAAGGAUACAAAGAAGGCGGCUCCGCAAUUCCAAGAAUCACACCGCCCCUUUCUCGGAAAACCAUGAAUAUUCCUCCCCCUUAUUAGCGUCUCUCUCCCCUCUCGUCCGGGUCGCCCUGCACCUAAGACCCGGCAGACUCCAGCAGUUGAAGGAGAGAGAGACCGAAAGAGAAUCGAUCUUCCGUCCACUGAUUCGCUCCCCAGAUGGCCCCAUCAGUGGGGGCUGAGCCAGGACGAAACCAGUGGAGAUUUCCAGAACCUAUGACAGGAGCUGUUGCAACAGACCGGAUGAAUGCAGGGGGUAUACGAGAAUCCAGCAAUCUCCUAUUAAGCCAGGCAUGAAAGAGAUUUGCAAAAUAGACAACUCUUCUUCCUAGAUCUUUUGGAAACAUCAUUUUAAAAAAUAAGAAUGUUAUUUAUUUAACAUGAAGUGAAUUUGUUACUCUUAAUAAAUAUUACGAAUCAUUUUUUAGAGGCUAGCAUUACGGCAGAGCAGAUAAAGCCACCGUCUGUGACGCCAGC